UGUGACAUGACACAACGUCUCCUCCAUCUCUCCCUCCCCCUUUAUUUACAGAUGAGGAUGUUUCCCCUUUUAAAAAAGCCAGAGGGUAAUUUUGUACACAAAGUCUUUGCAAAGAAUGUGCUCAAAAAUGGAUGGUCCCCACUAAUGCCAGAAUGUGGGAGCAAGGAGCAGAGGACUGUAAGUAAUUACCACUGGACUUAGCCAAUAAUUCAUGCUAUAUUUCUGUUUAAUAAGAUGUAACUUACUUUGGAAUCCUGAGGGAUGAAAGGAAAGCUUGCAAUAUAAGACUUGAUUAUCAUCUGAAGCACUUCAGCUUUUCUUUCCCACCAUGAGAAAGUUCAUUUGGAGUCAUCAAUUACAAUUAAAGGAUCAUUUUUGCUUAACCUGCUGAAAACAGAUUAAAUUACGGGCAAUCCAAAUGGGCUGAUUAUAUAAUCAACAGCUUAUAUUGCAUAAAAGGCAGAUAAAACAGGAAUCUUGUCAUGAUGCAGGAAAAAAUACACAUGAUAUUUCUUAUCCAGAAAGAAAAUCAUUCAAAGGAUUUACUUGCCUGUAGUUAUACAUUUAAAAUCUUCUGUCACCAUGCGGUUUGCAUUAUAGAUGUCAACUUGGUAAAGAGUCACGGCAAAGACAACACAAUUAAUAGUAAGUAAGAAUAAAUAAAAUGAUCAGAUUCCAGUCAGGCCAUUAAUAAAACUACAGCCUCUUAAACCCAAAAACUUGUUCCAGAAAUUUUCCAUAGUAGACAGGGACAGGAAAAGCAUUGAAGGAGAAUUGUCAGAAGACACAAAACACCCUUGGUUGAUUAUUUGUUGGCCAGUUAUUUACUAGCAGAGUGGACUAAGUACAUCUAAUCCAGCAUUUUAUUUUCACAUUCUGGCCAACCAGAUGCAUAAUAGAUAGAAGCCAACAAGCAGACCCUGAAUGCAACAGCACUUUCCCCACCUGUGAUUCCUGGAACUGGUAGGUGCGUCUCCACCCCCAUUGCUCAGCCGAGACGCUCAGGUCCUCCUCCAAGGAUAAUUUGCUGGUUCCCUAACUGUGAGAAGCAAAGUUACAGGGAACCAGGCAGAGGACCUUCUCAGUAGUGGCACCCUCCCUGACGAACAAGAAAUAACUGCAGGGUUGAUGACUAGUCCUUGAGAUAAAGCUGUUGCAGACGAUGACAAAUGCAAAGGCACUUGGAUAACAUCUUCAAAUGAAACAGAUAACUCUGUAUUUGGGGUAUCGAGUAAGGAUCAAAGCCGAAGCAAAGCUUCCCAUUCCUUGAUUGCUGGAUUUGACAUCCAGCAUCCAAAUGCUGAGAGUAUCUUCAUCAGGAGAAGAGAAUUCUGGAAUGCCAGAAAAGGCUUCUCUUGAAACCAGACAAGAAUCGGUCAACACAGCCUUCUCAGCAAGGCAAGAAAAUAGUCACCAGCUGAGUAAAGCCUUGGGAUGACAUGAUGAUGGAUGGCCAGAUGGUUUCAAUCACACAGAAAAAGAACAAACUAUCCUAAAACAGUAGGGCACAGUUCUUGGGAUGCAAUACAAUGACCUACUCAAAAAUCAGCUGAUGAGGUGAGCCAAGAAAUCCAAGGUUUUGGGUGCGAUUUUGCUGACUUUCUCAAUGCUGUCUCCUUUUUCGUCUUGAAAGAGAAGUGAAAGCCAGGAAAUGCCACAAAUAAAGGAGAUGCAACUUUCAAUAGAGUCUGCACAGACACCAGGCCUGCCUGUUACUGUCACCAAGCAGAACCACAAACAGUUACCACAGCUGUAAACACCUCAAUUGGGAAGCCUGAUGCAAAGUUUAGCUUAGUGUAGCUUCUCAAACAAACGGAAAAGCCACAAUCUUUUUCAAGAUAUCACAGGCAUGCCUAUGUUCUAUACCAGCUUUCACCAACCUGCUGCUCUCCAGAUGUUCUGAACGUCGACUCCCAACAGCCCAAGCCAGCACAAAGCUGCCUUUUUAUACCAAGUCAGAGCAUUGCUCCAUCUAACUCAAUACUGUCUACAGUACUGACUGACAGCGGCUCUCCAGGACAAGGGUAUCUCCCAACUCUAUCUGUAGAUGCCAGGGGCUGAUCUUAGAACCAUCUGCCUGCAAAACAGGUGUUCUGCCAAUGUGCUAAGGCUGUUCUCUUAUAAGCAGAGUCACAUUAGGUACCCUGACCCUAAGCCGAUGGUGACUUUAUUUUUAAGGUCACAACCAGCUGCUUUGCAAGCUGAAGAUGGAAUUUAUACUCCCAGAUUCAAGCUUGGCUCACAACAGUUGGGUCUAAAGAGCAUCUCUUUUCGCACACAGGAUCUUCACAUGCUGGAAACAAACUCACAAGAAGAUACAUAAUUCACACUAACUACCCAGCUGCACUUAAUCCAUUGGCAGCUAUAACCUUUAAGAAACAAGAAGUCGCAGACUUUGCACAUAAGUUAUAGAUGCUUCCAUUAAUCAAGUAUAAUCUAAUAGAUAGGUGUUUCGGUCUGUCAUGUCCAGUGUGCAUUUUUCACCACAAGGUAGCCAAUUAGACUGAAAACACCAAAGUGGCAGAGAUAUAGUUGUGCUCUCUACUGAGAUUGGUUGGUGCGCCUCCUAAUUUCUUAGGUGACCUUGUCCCGCUUUAUUAGUCUUGAAUAGCCUAUUCCUAUGUCUUUAAUAUCUAUUCUGCAGGGAAAGGUUUCAAAGGUAUUACUUUUCCUCCUAGCAAAGGAGCAUUAUGAUAAUACAAAGGAUACAUUAUGGUGAAACCUUUUGUUGAAACACAGCCAAGGAUCCAAAGACUUCAGGGAGUAGCAGCUGGUAUCCCCCUACUCCAGUACUUCUCUUCUGGAACUUCAGUACAGUGGUACCUCGGUUUAUAAACACAAUUGGUUCUGGAAGUCCGUACUUAACCUGAAGCGUACUUAACCUGUAGCGAACUUUCCCAUUGAAAGUAAUGGAAAGUGGAUUAAUCUGUUUCAGACAGGUCCGCAGAGCACUUAAACUGAAAAUACUCAAACCGAGGCGUACUUAAACCGAGGUAGGACUGUAGUUUACCACCUUCAACAAAUACAAUUGUUCCAACAGCAUAGAGAUUUCUGCUUGCAAAAUAGAAAUUCCCAUGCCUCCCUAAACCUGUUCUGGGGUUUCUCCAACCCCCGGAGUAGAUUUGAGGAAGGCAUGAGGGAAGAGGGAGGAGUCCUGUAAUACAAUCAGAAAUCCUAGGGCUGUUGGGACUCAUUAGUAGAAUACUGCAAUGUCCUUCUAUCUUCAGUAUGGCAUGUUGAAAUUCAGCAGAUACAACUUCUCACACCACAGCCUCUGCUUACUGGGACGACCUGGACCUGUUGGCUUUCUGUUUAUCAGGCAAUAGAGCACCUCUGUUAAGAAAUUCAAAAGGGAAUGGAAUUUAAUCUGGAGCAAACCAAGCUCUGGUUCUCUGGAGCAAGCUAAUGCCUUUAGUUGAUCCAGUCCCUCUUGGCAGAGGUUUAGGAGCCAGGGGCCAGCUAUGUACGUCUUAAAGGCUUCUUUUUUUUAAGCCUCCUCCAAUUAUGAAUUGAAAAUGAAGCCAAUACUGUCAACCAUGUCUGGGAAGAAGAAUGGGUAGCCAGAAGGGAGAGUGGCGAGGCAGAAACAUAUUGCUCUUUUUAUUUGUAAACAGAAUCCCUCUGGGAGUCCUGGUUGAAAGGCACCGUCAUUAAUUACAUUUGAGAGGGAAAAUCAGGAGAAUCUACACCACGGAGAUUGGGUGCUGAUUCCUCUCCCUGAAGCAGCAACGGAAACUUCACGCUCAUCUGUCAAGAACAGUGAUGAAAUAAAGCAAAGCCCGUGAGGGAGAUGUGUGUUUUCAAGGAUGUUACACAAUUGUAAAACAGAGUGUUCUCCAUGGCUCCCAUAACCCCAUAGCGGAAUUUUAUACCGAAUAGACGUACACACACACACCUGAUCUCUCUUGACCAUGGAUCCUGUGCUAGACACUGGAUCUAUCAUUUCAUUUCAGGACUCUUCACAUGGUUAUAGAGAGAAGAAUAAAGUGGCAAAAAAUGAAGAUCUCCCAAAGAAAAAUGAAUAUUGCCUGUCUGUCCUCUGCCUUAGGCGGUAUUCACUCUCUUGUUUACUGUGUGCACCCACUGUGUUUUCAGUACUGGGUUUAAAAUCUGUGUUCAAACAAUGUUAUCCAAAAUGCAUAUGUAUCCUGUGCUUUGCUAUGAGAUAUUAGUAUCUGAUAUGUGCACCGAGAACUCCCAGAAGUGCAAGCUGGAUUUCGAAGGGGCAGAGGAACCAGAGACCAAAUAGCAAACAUGUGCUGGAUUAUGGAGAAAGCUAGAGAGUUCCAGAAAAAUGUCUACUUCUGCUUCAUUGACUAUGCAAAAGCCUUUGACUGUAUCGACCACAGCAAACUAUGGCAAGUUCUUAAAGAAAUGGGAGUGCCUGAUCACCUCAUCUGUCUCCUGAGAAAUCUCUAUGUGGGACAAGAAGCUACAGUUAGAACUGGAUAUGGAACAACUGAUUGGUUCAAAAUGGGGAAAGGAGUAUGACAAGGUUGUAUAUUGUCUCCCUGCUUAUUUAACUUAUAUGCAGAAUUCAUCAUGCGAAAGGCUGGACUAGAUGAAUCCCAAGCCGGAAAUAAGAUUGCCGGAAGAAAUAUCACCAACCUCAGAUAUGCAGAUGACACAACCUUGAUGACAGAAAGUGAGGAGGAAUUAAAGAACCUUUUAAUGAGGGUGAAAGAGGAGAGUGCAACAUAUGGUCUGAAGCUCAACAUCAAAAAAACCAAGAUCAUGGCCACUGGUCCCAUCACCUCCUGGCAAAUAGAAGGGGAAGAAAUGGAGGCAGUGAGAGAUUUUACUUUCUUGGGCUCCUUGAUCACUGCAGAUGGUGACAGCAGUCACGAAAUUAAAAGACCCCUGCUUCUUGGGAGAAAAGCAAUGACAAACCUGGACAGCAUCUUAAAAAGCAGAGACAUCACCUUGCCGACAAAGGUCCGUAUAGUUAAAGCUAUGGUUUUCCCGGUAGUGAUGUAUGGAAGUGAGAGCUGGACCAUAAAGAAGGCUGAUCACUGAAGAAUUGAUGCUUUUGAAUUAUGGUGCUGGAGGAGGCUCCUUAGAGUCCCAUGGACUGCAAGAAGAUCAAACCUAUCCAUUCUUAAGGAAAUCAGCCCUGAGUGCUCACUGGAAGGACAGAUCCUGAAGCUGAGGCUCCAAUACUUUGACCACCUCAUGAGAAGAGAAGACUCCCUGGAAAAGACCCUGAUGUUGGGAAAGAUGAAGGGCACAAGGAGAAGGGGACGACAGAGGAUGAGAUGGUUGGACAGUGUUCUCGAAACUAUGAACAUGAGUUUGACCAAACUGCGGGAGGCAGUGGAAGACAGGAGUGCCUGGCGUGCUCUGGUCCAUGGGGUCACGAAGAGUUGGACACAACUAAACGACUAAACAACAACAACAACAUUAGUAUCUGA